CGUGGCCCCCAACGCCGCCGUGGCCCCCCACGCCGCCGUGGCCCCCCACGCCGCCGUGGCUCCCCACGCCGCCGCGGGCGAGGCGAGGAGUCCCGUCGGAAUUGCGGCAGAGCAGCACCACCACCCCCCGCCCCCCCGCCUGCCAGAAUGGCCCGCGGAAGGUGAUGUGACAGAACUGUCUUCUGGAAAAAUCACCUUCGAGUGGCCCUUUUCAUCGCUACUUAAUGGGGGGAGAAGGGCGCAAUUUCGCACACGCCGCUACGAAAUUGACGUUCAAUCUUGUGAUCCUCGACCUGAUAUUUUAAUUCCGAGAUCUGGGGUUAUUUCGCAACAAUUGCGUUAAAAUCCAAAAAAGUUUUCAUAUCGGUGUCUUUUUUGUCGCUGCGGUCACUCGCGAUCGCAUCUCGCGACGUUGAUUCUUGAAUCUGGAUUCAAACUCAGGGUCACGGCGAGGGAGGCGGGGGUGGGGGUGGGGGGACCCGGCGGCUCGCACCUCUGAGCCACGUGGACCACCUCACCAAUGGAUGUCAAUGGGUGACGGAUGGAUGGCGAUGUGGGGAGAUUCGCUGCUCCAUCUCUCGGGUGGGAAACCGCCUCCGCUCUGUUGUCGACAACUCUUAACGCCCCCCCCCCCCCCACGGGGGCGGGGUGCAAUCGGGCUUGACUAGCUGCUGUUUGGUGCCAAAUGUACAGUGUUAGGCCUUGUAUUUAUAGAGUUUAUUGCGAAAUAAAGUGUUAUAUAAUACAUUA